GCCCUUAUAGCUCAGUUGGUAGAGCGCGGCACUAGUAAGGUUUAGUGUAGUGCUCCAGCAAUGCCGAGGUCUACGGUUCGACUCCGUAUGGGGGCA